rnacentral:rRNA from 1 species
UACGAAGGGGGCGAGCGUUGUUCGGAUUUACUGGGCGUAAAGGGCGCGCAGGCGGCUUGUCAAGUCAGGCGUGAAAGCCCCGGGCUUAACCUGGGAGGUGCGCUUGGGACUGGCGAACUAGAAUCUGGCAGAGGGGGGUGGAAUUCCACGUGUAGCAGUGAAAUGCGUAGAGAUGUGGAGGAACACCGAUGGCGAAGGCAGCCCCCUGGGCUGAGAUUGACGCUCAGGCACGAAAGCGUGGGGAGCAAACAGG